ensembl:Y_RNA Y_RNA Y RNA
AGCUGGUCCAAGUGCAGUGGUGUUUACAACUAAUUGAUCACAACCAGUUACAGAUUUCUUUGUUCCUUCUCUCCACUCCCACUGCUUCACUUGACUAGCCUUAA